rnacentral:rRNA from 1 species
UACGGGAGGCAGCAGUGGGGAAUAUUGCACAAUGGGCGCAAGCCUGAUGCAGCCAUGCCGCGUGUAUGAAGAAGGCCUUCGGGUUGUAAAGUACUUUCAGUCGUGAGGAAGGUGUUAAGGUUAAUAACCUUAGCAAUUGACGUUAGCGACAGAAGAAGCACCGGCUAACUCCGUGCCAGCAGCCGCGGUAAUACGGAGGGUGCGAGCGUUAAUCGGAAUUACUGGGCGUAAAAGGCACGCAGGCGGUUAAUUAAGUUGGAUGUGAAAUCCCCGGGCUUAACCUGGGAAUGGCAUUCAAGACUGGUUAGCUAGAGUCUUGUAGAGGGGGUAGAAUUCCAUGUGUAGCGGUGAAAUGCGUAGAGAUGUGGAGGAAUACCGGUGGCGAAGGCGGCCCCUGGACAAAGACUGACGCUCAUGUGCGAAAGCGUGGGGAGCAAACAGGGAUUAGAUACC